rnacentral:lncRNA from 1 species
AUGCCUGGACCAGAAGCCAGCACCACCCUCAGGGCUUCACUGGAGGAGCUGUCACUGGGGCCAGUGCGGUUUCCCCUACUGCUACAGGACCAGGAGAGGAUUCGUCCAACAGUGAAUCAGAGCAGGAGGGGCCCCAGAAGCUGGUCCAUAAAGUGUCCACCUCUGGACAGAUGGGGACCAAGUAGCAUUGAUCUUCCCAGACUGAUAACUGCUGAAAUCCAGGUCACGGCUCACCUCACCAAACUCAAAGCAAGGAGUGAGGAGAGGGAGACUCUAGACAGCCACUGGACUACAACCAUCGGCUCUGAAAUAAUGAGAAACUAUUGUAAGCAGACAGAUGCCUUGAUGUCUCUGAGAAGUUGCAAAAGAGACAGCUGUCUAUGA